UACGUAGGGCGCAAGCGUUGUCCGGAAUUAUUGGGCGUAAAGAGCUCGUAGGCGGUCUGUUGCGUCCGCUGUGAAAACCCGGGGCUUAACCCCGGGCUUGCAGUGGAUACGGGCAGACUAGAGGCAGGUAGGGGAGAAUGGAAUUCCCGGUGUAGCGGUGAAAUGCGUAGAGAUCCGGAGGAACCCCAGAGGCGAAGGCGGCCCCCUGGCUCGUACCUGACGCUCAGCCACGAAAGCAUGGGGAGCGAACGGG
rnacentral:rRNA from 1 species